rnacentral:rRNA from 1 species
UACGAAGGGGGCUAGCGCUGCUCGGAAUCACUGGGCGUAAAGGGCACGUAGGCGGGUUUUUAAGUCAGGGGUGAAAUCCUGGAGCUCAACUCCAGAACUGCCUUUGAUACUGGCGAUCUUGAGUUCGGGAGAGGUGAGUGGAACUGCGAGUGUAGAGGUGAAAUUCGUAGAUAUUCGCAAGAACACCAGUGGCGAAGGCGGCUCACUGGCCCGAUACUGACGCUGAGGCACGAAAGCGUGGGGAGCAAACAGG